GCCUGAAGAUCCUAAUGCCAGAACACCUCUUAGAGAAAGAAAGACAAAACUAUGAUGUGAAUCCUGCAUCUUCAUUGCCUUUUCAACAGCAAAAAUUAUCUGACUGAUUCAGAGCCUCUUGAUAUAGUUGCAAAACAUUGUCACUGGAGACAUUGUCCCUCAGAUGGGAACAUUUUUCACUUUGGUUCAGAGAAAUGGCUGGUAAAGAAGGUUAUUUCUCUUCUCUCAGAAGACAUUUAACUAGUAAAACACCUGAGCCAGCCUGACUUGCAGACAUUGUCAAUCAAAUUACAAUUGACUGCUAUGUAGUGUUUAUUAGAAACAUUUCAGUGCUAAUCCUUGUAGAUCCUUUUAAUAUUCAGUGCUUUAUUUUCAUAUCAAAAAAGGUAAUCACUGACACCUUUAUAUGCAAUGAUGUCUUUAGUUAAAAAAAAAGUGUUCACUACAUCAUCUCAAUAUAAAUUUAGUGUUAUUACCCAAUCUCAAAUAGUGUCUCCCCUCAAUGUCUAGACCUGUCCGAUAUGGACACCUGAACUGUGACUAGUUCAAAUUGAGAUGUACUGCAGGUAUAAAAUACACAUUGGAUUUUGCAGACUUAGUAUGAAAAAAAAUCUCAAUAAUUUUUACAUUGGUUAUGUGUUGAAACAAUAAUAUCUUGGGUAUAUUGGGUCAAGUAACAUUAAAAUUCAUUUUACUUGUUUUCUGUAACUUAAUGUGGGUACUAGAAAAUUUUAAAUUACACAUGCAGCACAUUAUAUUUCUGUUGGAUGGUGCUCUCGACAAAUCCACAGCAAACACAGUCCUCUCCAUACUCUGUGUUCCCCUAAUACUUUCCAAAUGAGUUGAUGCCGCUUGUGAAUCUGUUAGUAAUGGAUUGCACUUGUUUCUAAUGUCACUGUCCAGGUCUAAGCUUAUGGUAAUUUAGUAACAACCCUGGUGAUUUUUAAAGCUACCUUUGUUGAUUGGGGAGAUUUUUGCAAAGAGCAGAUGGGGAAAUAUUUAAAUUUGUUGAGUUAUUCAAAAGUAAUAAUCCCAACCAGUAAAACAUAUUGGGGGCCACUGGAAAGAUUGUUUAUUCUUUAUUAUUAAUUUUUGUUCCAUAAAAUUUGACUAUAAAGUGUCUGUAAAAAUGACUUAGAUUUUAUAAAAUUUGUGUUUAUUUGCUACCUUGUUCAAAAUGGGAUUUAAAGUAGCCAACUUAAAAAUGUCAGUAAUUGGUUAGCAUCUGUUUAGGAAUUCUUCAGCAACAAGGUGGUAUGUGCUAUUUUAGGAGAUGAGCGAUACUAGUCGAAAUUUCAGUAAAAUAAAAAUUCAUGUUCCUUCA